UCCACAGUAGCUCAGUUAGUAGAGCAAUCGGCUGUUAACCGAUCGGUCGCAGGUUCGAGUCCUGCCUGUGGAG
rnacentral:tRNA from 1 species